rnacentral:rRNA from 1 species
AUUGAACGCUGGCGGCAGGCCUAACACAUGCAAGUCGAGCGGAUGAUGGGAGCUUGCUCCUGGAUUCAGCGGCGGACGGGUGAGUAAUGCCUAGGAAUCUGCCUGGUAGUGGGGGACAACGUUACGAAAGGAACGCUAAUACCGCAUACGUCCUACGGGAGAAAGCAGGGGACCUUCGGGCCUUGCGCUAUCAGAUGAGCCUAGGUCGGAUUAGCUAGUAGGUGAGGUAAUGGCUCACCUAGGCGACGAUCCGUAACUGGUCUGAGAGGAUGAUCAGUCACACUGGAACUGAGACACGGUCCAGACUCCUACGGGAGGCAGCAGUGGGGAAUAUUGGACAAUGGGCGAAAGCCUGAUCCAGCCAUGCCGCGUGUGUGAAGAAGGUCUUCGGAUUGUAAAGCACUUUAAGUUGGGAGGAAGGGCAGUAAGUUAAUACCUUGCUGUUUUGACGUUACCGACAGAAUAAGCACCGGCUAACUCUGUGCCAGCAGCCGCGGUAAUAC